rnacentral:tRNA from 1 species
GCGGGCGUGGCGGAACUGGCAGACGCACUGGAUUUAGGUUCCAGCGCCGCAAGGCUUGUGGGUUCAAAUCCCUCCGCCCGCACCA